UUUUUUUUUUCUUUUCUUUUUUUCCCCGCCUUAGAGUAAGAACAUUUCCCAUUUCAGUUGUUUGUUGUCAUAGUAAACGUGAUACUGAUUUUGUGGGAUUCCUUGUCUGAUCAGGGAUCAAGAAAAAAUGCAUAUUUCACAAGAAUGAAUGAAGAUAUUUCAGCCAGGAGGUGAAUGUAAGCAGCAAAAAGUUGAUUUUACCUGAAACUCUGGUGCAUACAAAUGACAGAGAGCAAAAGAUCCUUGUAAUCAUUGAGAAGAAGCUGAAAUCCAUUUCAAAAUGGAACAUAAGAACAGAUAAUUGGAGUCUAUAAUUUGUGAUAUAUUUUCCAAGCUCUGAGCAGUUUAGUAUUAGCUCCCAUAAAAUUUAUUCAAUCUCCUAAUUACUUUCUAAAAGAUGACUGGAGUCAGCCUAGCUGGUAUAGAAAUUAUGGCCAGAGGGAGAUUUUUUAUUGUACUAUUACACAUGAAUCCAGUGUUCUACAAACCAUGGUGUUUUGUUCUUCCUGUUUUCCUACGUGAUUCAUCAUAAUUUGAUUAUCUUGGGAACAGAGCUAUAUUGACUAUCAGAUAUAAUGAUUAAUUAUAAAAUUUAAUUCUGCUAACUUGAGGAUUGAACAAUUUUCACAGUCUUGCACACCAUGAUCAAUUAUUUAAAAAAUAAAAGAAAUUUCCCUUCCUUCUACUAGAAUGUUUGGCCUACUAAGUGAGCAUAGAAGUCUCUAACUGCAGCACUAUGAGGCCUGUGACAGAUUGUGUUAUGAUCUGUUUUGUACUGAAGUCACCUCAAGUAGGAGAAAAUCAUACUGUUGAAACAAUUGUUUUUCAUGCCACAGUUGGAUUUCACUACUUUGUAACCUUUAAAUAGCUUUUCUUCCAAAUAUGUUUUCAUUCAAUUUACAAUGUUACAUCUGCAGGAUGAGGAAAGCUACUAGAUCAAUGUUUAACUGUUUCAUGGCAAAGUUUGUGUUGUGUGAGUUCAAAUCCAACAUCUUGUGCAGUUGCUCAGCUAUCUGGUAAUACCUUUUCAGAAUAAACCCACUUGAGGAUCACUAAUUCCAGCUGAACUUUAGAAUUCCCAGUUAUGUAGACAGUCUUUCAAAGGAAGGAAAAUUGAAAACAAUUGAGUUGAAAAGUAUACAGAUAAGGCAUAUAUUUACAGUAUCCUUGGCUCUUGCUCAAGUUAAGAGAGUCAAACUGCACAGAAAGCUGAAAUUAAAUAUUACUUUGGCUAUGCAUAAGUAGAAUGUGAAUCACUAGUUCAUCAAUUUGCUGGCUGGGUUAUACACAACUACUUUCAAUAAUGAUUUAGUAGUAGAACAAAUUUUAAUGCCAGGAGAACAACAUUUUAGUUGCCUUUUGUUUCAUUUACUUCUGUAAUGACAUUGUUAUUUUGCCCCAUGCCAAGGAAGUUUAUUUUGCGAAGGCUCUGCAAGAUGGGUCAUACUGGUAAAGAAAAUAAUUUUUUCCUCCCCAAAUGUCUCUCACUGAUUUCAUUGGCUGUGACACUUAGCGAAAUACAAAAAAAACCCAUGUACCUAUCCACUGUCAUGGUUUUAUGAUUUUUGUUGUUGGUAUUCCACAUCAUAACACUGUGUGGAACAUUGUGUGGAACACUGGGAGUUAAGUCCAUUUCUGUGGACUGCCAGUGGUUCUGGGUAUACCUGUUGCAGGGGAGGAAGAGGAGCUACAUACCCCAGAGGACUUUGCGUUUCUGUUUUCUGUUCAGAGGGAAAGAAAAAACUGUUGGCAAGUCACAAGACUGCCCUUUUUCCCUUCUGCUCAUCUCUGCAGUGUGUGCUCCCUAGCUGUCUCACCUUCAGCAUUAGAUUAGGGCCUUCAGUUUUUGGACACUCUCUCUCUAUUUAUUUGAUUUAUUAGCUUCAAUUCCAAUUAAAUUGGGAUAAACUGUUUUGGUUUUAGGCCCAUCUCCCUACCCUUUCUCCUUUUCCCCCCUCCCCUUCGCCAGGGCAUAGAUCCAUGAGUCCCCCCGCCCCAUUUGUCAUGGAACUGGGCUGAAACAGCCUGUAACCAUUGACAUCUGUAAUCUUAAAGGUAUGAAAUUUGUGUCAGUCUGAACUACUUUCUGAACUCCAUGCUAUUUCUACUUGCAGUUAAAUGGAAGAGAAAUGGUCUCUGUUAUCACUCUAUGAGAUUGUUAAAUAUUUUUUCCUUGUUAGACAAUUUCAUUAUGCAAGUUUUAUAAAUGAGUGUCUUCCAUCUUCCAAACACUGUCCUAUUAAUUUCAAAGUUUGUGGAGGAAGGGAAGACUAGAUUUGAUGUAUACUGAAAUCAGUUGAAAAUGAGUCUGUUUGGUGAGAAGAUUCUUUUAUUUCCAUUUUUUUUUUCUUUUAUUCUCUUCUGGAAAAGCAAAAAAGCUUCUCAUUUACUUAUUCAAAAUAAUUACACUUCAAGAUAAACCUUUUCCCUCUUUUUCAAGUCCAGGUUCUAUCACCAGUUCUGAACAUGAGAGAUCAUCCUGCUAAUAAUCUUUAACACCAAUCAACAAUAUGAAACAGUUUUGCUCUACUUGAGCAAUAGACUGCAGAAAGAAAAGUAAUACUGCAUAUGUUCAGACACCAAGUAGUUAGAUCAGUAGUAGUUAGAUUCUCGUGUAACUAUUAAUAGGACUAGAGGGAAUGGCUUCAAGCUGUGCCAGGGGAGGUUCAGGCUGGACAUUAGGAAAUCUACUUCCCUGAAAGAGUGGUCAGGCACUGGAAUGGGCUGCCCAGGGAGUUGGUGGAGUCACCAACCCUGGAAGUGUUCAAGGAAUGUUCCGACAUUGUGCUGAGGCACAUGAUUUAGUUAGAACUAUUGGUGAUGGGUGGAUGGUUGGACUGGAUGAUCCUGUGGGUCUUUUCCAACCUUAGCAAUUCUAUGAUUAUUCAUUUUAUCUGAUGAUAUGUGGGAACUGUUGUGUCACAGCCUAAACCACUGAUUGAGCACCUGGGCAAAUGACCCAGUCAGCCCUGGGAGCACAGGUGAAAGCAAUCCACCUGUGUGACCAGAAGGGGUGGAGCCUGCUGCACCUCAAUAAGACCUCAUUUAUGGGCUGACUGCCACUCUGGAAGGAUUUCUUUCUGGACAUCUCUCCCAUGUGGAAUUUUUCUCGGUGAACCUAGAUCCUCAGAGAUGGGUGAGCAAUCUUUUUCCAUUCCCUUCCUUUAUAACCCUUCUUCUGUUGUGCUUUUCCCUUUGUCAUCACACCCCCUUUUUUGUAACUGAUUUCCAUCAUGUUGAUCCUUCUGAUUGUUACAAAUUUCCCUCUGUAGGCCAUGUAAUCUCUCUUUAUCUAUUUACUUGAAAGUGCUUACAGAUUGGUGCUUAGGCAAGCUGACAAUGGCAUACCUAUGUAUGUGUUUUGACAGAUAAAUGAAGAUCAGGCUCACCCAAUGAGCAGCUUAUGUAAUCAUUGUUUUAUCAUAAGAUAGUCUAGGUCUGCAGAUAUUGUUUUUAGGAUCUACAAAGCAUGGAUUUUUUUGCCCCGUUUGAUACAUGUGUAUAUAUCUCCAUGCUAAAAUCAAAUGAAACAAGAGACCUGUAAACAUGCUUCUUACCUCAUUUGAUGUUAAUUUCAGAAGACUCAAAAGACUUAUGGUGAUUGGUAUAAAUCAGAUAUUGACAAAUGUUCGUUAUGACAAAACACACAGUUAGCAGUGACAGCACAGGCUUAAGGGAGCAGGGCUGUUUGCACAGGACUCCAGACUUAAUAUGGAAAUGAAAGGGAAUUACAGUAGCCCUAGCACCACAGUUCUUUUCCUCUUUAUUAACUCUGCAUGUUCUAUGUAGAAUACUUGCUAUAUUUAUGGAAGUGUCAUAGUGAAAAGACUGCAGAACCAAUCACUGUUUUUGAAAGAACAGCACAGUGAAAAUCAAAAUUAUUUAAUAUUGUAAGAGCUGAAAGCAACACUAGAAAAGUUGUAUACCAAAAAUAUUUUGGCACUCCAUAUUUUCUAACAACAAAUUCCUGUUUUGUUGAAGUAAUAUUUUCAGGAGAUUGACAUUUUAUCAUGUCUGUCUAUGCUAAUUUAAGUGUUCUUAAGGAACAAUUCCUUACCAUGUUUUCCAUGACAAUCAGUUAUCAUUCUGUUGCUAACAGUGUUCUCAUUAUAAUAGUAGAUGCAGUUGGUUGAGGUCGGUUACUGAAAUAAUGCAAUUUUUCCAAGUGUG
ensembl:lncRNA